rnacentral:piRNA from 1 species
UCUUACUUCAGCCUACUAUCAAAAUGGGAA